rnacentral:rRNA from 1 species
UACGGAGGGUGCAAGCAUUGAUCGGAAUUACUGGGCGUGAAGGGCGCGUAGGCGGCAGAGGAAGUCAGGUGUGAAAUUCUGGGGCUCAACCCCGGAGCUGCACUUGAGACUUUUCUGCUGGAGUGCAGUAGGGGAAAACGGAAUUCCACGUGUAGCGGUGAAAUGCGUAGAUAUGUGGAAGAACACCGGUGGUGAAGACGGUUUUCUGGACUGAUACUGACGCUGAGGCGCGAAAGCUAGGGGAGCAAACAGG